rnacentral:rRNA from 1 species
CGGCCUAUCAGCUAGUUGGUGAGGUAACGGCUCACCAAGGCCAAGACGGGUAGCCGGCCUGAGAGGGUGUACGGCCACACUGGAAUUGAGAUACGGUCCAGACUCCUACGGGAGGCAGCAGUGGGGAAUCUUGGGCAAUGGGCGAAAGCCUGACCCAGCGACGCCGCGUUGGGGAUGAAGCCCUUCGGGGCGUAAACCCAUGUUGUAGGGGACGAAGAAAGUGACGGUACCCUACGAGAAAGCCCCGGCCAACUACGUGCCAGCAGCCGCGGUAAAACGUAGGGGGCGAGCGUUGUCCGGAAUUACUGGGCGUAAAGGGCACGCAGGCGGUACGCCAAGUCGGGGGUGUAAAGUUACGGCUCAACCGUGACCUUGCAAUCGAUACUGGCGUACUGGAGUGCGGGAGAGGGAAGUGGAAUUCCCGGUGUAGCGGUGAAAUGCGUAGAUAUCGGGAGGAACGCCAGUGGCGAAGGCGGCUUCCUGGCCCGCGACUGACGCUCAUGUGCGAAAGCCAGGGGAGCGAACCGGAUUAGAUACCCGGGUAGUCCUGGCCGUAAACGAUGGGUGCUAGGUGUAGGCGCGUCAAGCGUCUGUGCCGCAGUUAACGCGAUAAGCAC